rnacentral:rRNA from 1 species
CCUACGGGGGGCUGCAGUGGGGAAUAUUGCACAAUGGGCGCAAGCCUGAUGCAGCCAUGCCGCGUGUGUGAAGAAGGCCUUCGGGUUGUAAAGCACUUUCAGCGGGGAGGAAGGCGGUGAGGUUAAUAACCUCAUCGAUUGACGUUACCCGCAGAAGAAGCACCGGCUAACUCCGUGCCAGCAGCCGCGGUAAUACGGAGGGUGCAAGCGUUAAUCGGAAUUACUGGGCGUAAAGCGCACGCAGGCGGUCUGUCAAGUCGGAUGUGAAAUCCCCGGGCUCAACCUGGGAACUGCAUUCGAAACUGGCAGGCUAGAGUCUUGUAGAGGGGGGUAGAAUUCCAGGUGUAGCGGUGAAAUGCGUAGAGAUCUGGAGGAAUACCGGUGGCGAAGGCGGCCCCCUGGACAAAGACUGACGCUCAGGUGCGAAAGCGUGGGGAGCAAACAGGAGUAGAUACCCCUGUAGUC